rnacentral:rRNA from 1 species
UUGGAGGGCAAGUCUGGUGCCGCAGCCGCGGUAAUUCCAGCUCCAAUGGCGUAUAUUAAAGUUGUUGCAGUUAAAAAGCUCGUAGUUGAACUUCGGGGUCUACCCAUUGGUCAGGCUUAAUUGUCUGCACUGGUGAGAUGGAUCUCUACCUUCUGAGGAACUUUCAUGCCAUUUAUUUGGUGUGAUGGGAAAUCAGGACUGUUACUUUGAAAAAAUUAGAGCGUUUGAAGCAGACUAUCGUCUGAAUACAUUAGCAUGGAAUAAUGAAAUAGGACGGACUGAUUCUAUUUCGUUGGUUUCUAGGAUCACCGUAAUGAUUAAUAGGGAUAGUUGGGGGCAUUAGUAUUCAAUUGUCAGAGGUGAAAUUCUUGGAUUUAUUGAAGACUAACUACUGCGAAAGCAUUUGCCAAGGAUGUUUUCAUUAAUCAAGAACGAAAGUUAGGGGAUCGAAGACGAUCAGAUACCGUCCUGGUCUUAACCAUAAACUAUGCCGACUAGGGAUCGGAUGAUGUUAAUUUUUUAAUGACUCAUUCGGCGCCUUACGGGAAAC